UACAUAGGCCCCGAGCGUUACUGGGAAUCACUGGGUUUAAAGGGUGCGUAGGUGGCGCGUUAAGUCCGUUGUGAAAUCCCUGGGCUCAACCCAGGAAUUGCUUCGGAUACUGGCGUGCUUGAGGCCGGUAGGGGUCACUGGAACUGACGGUGGAGCGGUGAAAUGCGUAGAUAUCGUCAGGAACGCCGAUGGUGAAGACAGGUGACUGGGCCGGAACUGACACUGAGGCACGAAAGCGUGGGGAGCGAACGGG
rnacentral:rRNA from 1 species